AGAAUCAACGCUGGCGGCGUGCCUAACACAUGCAAGUCGAACGAGAAAGUGGAGCAAUCCAUUAGUAAAGUGGCGCACGGGUGAGUAACACGUGACUAACCUACCCUUGAGUGGGGGAUAACCUAGGGAAACCUGGGCUAAUACCGCAUAAUACCUUCGGGUCAAAGGAGCAAUUCGCUUAAGGAGGGGUCGCGGCCGAUUAGUUAGUUGGCGGGGUAAUGGCCCACCAAGACUAUGAUCGGUAUCC
rnacentral:rRNA from 1 species